UACAAGUAGGCUGUUCAGUCACGUGACUUUUUGCCGUGUUCGGAAAUUCAGCUUAAAACAAGCUCGCACACGGCAACGCGUAUUUUGUUAUUGCGCGUGAUGGCACUUAUUUUAAAUCGUCGAAUUCGGCACCUAUUUCGCUUAAGACAGAUGGUGUAUGGGCAGAUAGUGAUUGUUAAGUACCUUAAAUUUGUUUUUUUGAAUGAGACUUGUUUAAACGACCAACAGUGUAUUCAGAUUUCGACGAGGGAAAUGUAAACUUGGCGCAAACAGAGGAAAGUGCAUGACGUAUCAGUCUUGGAAUGAUGGCUAUUAAUCAUGGCUAUGUGCUAGAUAUUCCAGUUAACAUUAGACACAGCUACUAAACUAAAGCACCAAAGCUAGCUAGCUACCUAGCUAUAUAUAUAUUAGCCGAAGUAGUGGACCAGAAGAUGGAGUGUGUGAUGUUGUGUUUAAUUAUUCCAUACCACUGUGUGGUUAAUAGAUAAAGGUAUAU